rnacentral:rRNA from 1 species
AUGAACGCUAGCUACAGGCUUAACACAUGCAAGUCGAGGGGAAACGGCAUCGAAAGCUUGCUUUUGAUGGGCGUCGACCGGCGCACGGGUGAGUAACGCGUAUCCAACCUGCCCAUCACUUGGGAAUAACCUUGCGAAAGUAAGACUAAUGCCCAAUGACAUCCCACGAAGGCAUCCGAAUGGGAUUAAAGAUUUAUCGGUGAUGGAUGGGGAUGCGUCUGAUUAGCUUGUUGGCGGGGUGACGGCCCACCAAGGCAACGAUCAGUAGGGGUUCUGAGAGGAAGGUCCCCCACAGUGGAACUGGGACACGGUCCAAACUCCUACGGGAGGCAGCAGUGAGGAAUACUGGUCAAUGGGCGAGAGCCUGAACCAGCCAAGUAGCGUGCAGGAUGACGGCCCUAUGGGUUGUAAACUGCUUUUAUAAGGGAAUAAAGUGGGUCACGUGUGACUUUUUGCAUGUACCUUAUGAAUAAGGACCGGCUAAUUCCGUG